rnacentral:rRNA from 1 species
CCCUUAGAUGUUCUGGGCAGCACGCGCGCUACAAUGGUCUUCGCAAACGGAUGCAUUCUCGAAGGAGAAUGCCAAUCUUGGAAUCUAUGCCUUGGUCGGGACAGUUGCUUGCACUUUUUCGACUCGAACCAGGAAUUCCUUGUAAUCGUGAUUCAUCACAUCACGAUGAAUACGUCCCUGCCCUUUGUACACACCGCCCGUCGCUCCUACCGAUCGAAGAGUUAGGUGAAUUGUUUUGAUCGAUAAGAUUUGACUAUGGUCAACUCUCGUUGUGAAAUUCUGUGAAUCUGACUGUUUAGAGGAAGGAAAAGUCGUAACA